rnacentral:rRNA from 1 species
ACUGACGCUGAGGUACGAAAGCAUGGGGAGCAAACAGGAUUAGAUACCCUGGUAGUCCAUGCCGUAAACGAUGUCUACUAGCCGUUGGGGCCCUUGAGGCUUUAGUGGCGCAGCUAACGCGAUAAGUAGACCGCCUGGGGAGUACGGUCGCAAGACUAAAACUCAAAUGAAUUGACGGGGGCCCGCACAAGCGGUGGAGCAUGUGGUUUAAUUCGAUGCAACGCGAAGAACCUUACCUGGCCUUGACAUACAGAGAGCUUUCCAGAGAUGGAUUGGUGCCUUCGGGAACUCUGAUACAGGUGCUGCAUGGCUGUCGUCAGCUCGUGUCGUGAGAUGUUGGGUUAAGUCCCGCAACGAGCGCAACCCUUUUCCUUAUUUGCCAGCACUUCGGGUGGGAACUUUAAGGAUACUGCCAGUGACAAACUGGAGGAAGGCGGGGACGACGUCAAGUCAUCAUGGC